rnacentral:rRNA from 1 species
UACGGAGGGCGCAAGCGUUGUUCGGAAUCACUGGGCAUAAAGAGCAUGUAGGCGGUCUAUUAAGUCGGAUGUGAAAGCCCUCGGCCCAACCGGGGAACUGCAUUCGAUACUGGUAGACUAGAGGACAGGAGGGGUGAGUGGAACUUCAGGUGGAACGGUGAAAUGUGUAGAUAUCUGAAGGAACACCGGUGGCGAAAGCG